rnacentral:rRNA from 1 species
UACGGAGGGUGCGAGCGUUGUCCGGAAUCAUUGGGCGUAAAGGGCGCGUAGGUGGCCCCUCAAGCGCGCGGUGAAAGUCAGGGGCUCAACCCCUGAUCGGCCGUGCGAACUGGGGAGCUUGAGCACUGUAGAGGCAGGCGGAAUUCCGGGUGUAGCGGUGGAAUGCGUAGAGAUCCGGAAGAACACCGGUGGCGAAGGCGGCCUGCUGGGCAGUUUUGCUGACACUGAGGCGCGACAGCGUGGGGAGCAAACAGG